rnacentral:rRNA from 1 species
UACGUAGGGUGCGAGCGUUAAUCGGAAUUACUGGGCGUAAAGCGUGCGCAGGCGGCUUCGCAAGUCAGGCGUGAAAGGCCCGGGCUUAACCUGGGAACUGCGUCUGAUACUGGAAGGCUUGAGUAUGGGAGAGGGAUGUAGAAUUCCAGGUGUAGCGGUGAAAUGCGUAGAUAUCUGGAGGAAUACCGGUGGCGAAGGCGGCAUCCUGGACCAUUACUGACGCUGAGGCGCGAAAGCUAGGGGAGCAAACGGG